CCCUAAGCCAUUCAUUUCGCUAGGUCGCACGUCUCCCCCUUUCGCGUGGUGGCUCUUCCCAUGGCGGUCAACCUCUGUCGCGCUCAUCCCCAUUCAUGUACACUGAUGGGAUCCUGCUUCCCACUGCGCAAGGGCGCCGGUACGGUAGCCUCCCACAACCUGGCUUAGAUUUCGGACGGCACCACAACUUCGGCUGGGGGCCUCAAGCAUCGGCGGUGACAACGGGGCAGCGAACCAUCGCUUGUCGGUUGGAUUCCACUUGCCGGUGAUUGAGGAAAUAAAUCGCCAUGCCACUCUUCAGCGGCUACUACUUGCAGGUGAUCUAGGUUGACUGACUCAUGUGUGCUUCCAAGCUAGGAUUAGCAGUUCCAGUAUAAUUUUUGCCUUUGGAUUGAUAAAUCGGAGAACAUCUUUGAUGCUCCUUUGAUAGAAUAUAAUGAGAACAACAUGAUAUGUAAGGCAUGUACUACAUGGAUCUUGAUUCGGAAUUCAGCAAAACAACUCUAUUGAGUACCUGCAAUAAAAUAGUAAAUUGUUGUUCAUGAUCCUACAGUUUCUGAAGUCAAAAGUAGCAGUGUUUCAUCUAAUUGUAUCCUUCAAAGCUAAUAGAGUCCUUCAUAAUCUUUUUUGGGUGUGGUCUCUAUUAGUCACUAUGUAUUCGCUGAGAUUCUUUCAUUUUGUUGAAGCUGUAUGUGCAUCUGCUUUUGUCCGUGCCAUGGUAGGCGGCGCUGGAUCAUCUAUGUUGAGGAUGGCUUCACCGACUUGUGCAUCGUCUGAGCUCUGUUUCCCUUUCCUAGGGUUUAACAAAAUCGCAUUUGUUAUUCGUCAAGAGGAGGCCCACAUGCAGCAAGGUAUGGCAAUGCAAAAUCAAUGCAUGGCUUGUUCGGGACAUUACAGUUCGAAGGACAUGCAAAUGUUUGAUUCUCCAUGUACAGUGUCAAUCAACUGUUGAUUGCAGGAGCAAGGUGUACGAAAAAAAAUUGGAACCAAGAUACUCAUCUGGAGUUUAGUGUUUUAUUGCAUCAACAUAACAAUUCGCUGUCUUAUUGCAGGGAUACUGGCUACUUCCCCUUUCUUCCUCUGCCAUCUUCCCAGCAACCAUGGUUCCCAUACCACUGCUCAUUGCAAGGUUCCGUCUGCCUUCCCUCUCACUCUCACAGGAACGCUCACUGGCAGCACACAGGCCUUUCCUGACAGUGCCAUGGCACCUCUCUGUAGGUGAGCGACACUGCCAUUUCCUUCCAAGUGUGCCAUAUUUUCUUUUUUAAGUUAUUACAUGCUGAUUUACAGGUUGGUUUAGUCUAUUGUAUCAUGCCUCUAAUUCUGCUCCAUGCUCAAGUCAACAUGACACUUCUUCCCCCAAAUUUUUUCUCGAAUUAUUCUAUGUUAGUUCGGUUUGUCCUAUCAGGCCGAAUGAGCUGUCCACAUCUCCAUGUACAAAGGGUUAGUAUACAUCUACAUAAUCAGAUGCUGGAGGAAAUGUAGCAUAAUAUAUCUAAUCAUAUUAUAUGCUUUACUUACAAUGGUGCCUGCUCAGUGUAGCCAUUUACUCAUGAAAUGUAACGUUUCUUUUUACAGAAAAUAGACAAGAUGGGGACAACAAAUUUUCUUUCUCCCAAUUCUGGCACCCCCAUCAAUUGCUUAAUUUUUCAUUACAAUUUUAAUGUCAAUAUUUUUCCUUAAGAAAUUUUGCUAACCGUGGCUUCAUUGCUAAUCAGUUUAUGGUUCAUGUACUUGCCCAAAACAUAAUGUUUAGUUGUAGUUGAGCAAACACAACUAGAUCGUGUUAAUGCAUAAGUGAAAUCAACAGUCUUGAGGAACCUAAAAUCUAAGGUAUAUAUGCACUGCGAUAUGUUUUACUAUCCUCCUGUUAAAUUCCAAGGUCUUUAUCUUGAGGAUCAUUGUAUAUUGGUAUUUUGUUGCUCUUUCACUAGAAGAUGAUGCCAACUUGUUUUCUAAUUUGUAUAUGAUAAAACUGCAACAUGUCAUAAAAAGCAGGUUUGGAAGAAUGGUAUUUUUUAAAGCAAGUUUGGAAGAAUGGUAUUUAUCUAAAUUACGGACAACAAAUGCCAGAAUGGAAUAAAAAGUAAAUAUUCAUUAACACUUGAACACAUUUGUUGGAAUAUAGUGGUUGCUGUAUGAUCUUGAAGCAUGUAUUGCAUUGUAACAAUACAAGGCACGUGCUACUGUUUGACAUGUGAUCUUACAUUGGUAUUAUUAUCCCUGAUUUUCUUUUAGCGACUACUAUAUGAUCUUUGAAGUAUCUAAUCCAACGUUUAUGGAGCAUCAAGUGGCUGGGUUGAGAAGAGAAGUUAUUUGUUGGACCUACAAGGCGCAGAAAUCUAGCUGGCAACAGAAUUAUUUAUAUUUACGAAUGCAGUAAUAUGCAAUACAUAGUGUGUUUUUUAGAAUUACUUAUGUGUCAUGUUGGAAACAAUGUUGCUGGUGCCUUUACGUGUUACUACUGCUUUAUUGUUCAUGUAUAAUGCCUUCACAUAUUUGUGCCAAGCUAACAUUCAAUAUAUAUUACAAACA